rnacentral:lncRNA from 1 species
CAUCUUAGGACUGUCUGCAUCCAACCACACGGAUUGAAUGAGAAGUUUGUGAAGUCGUUGGUUGUAAGCAGAUCUACAGGGAAGCCAUUGGUGGCCGUCGUCCUUUGUUGAAUGGCUAACUCCGGUGUAUUGAUUAUCCUUGCCACUUGCUACCCAGGUGAAGCACUCGCAUUUGGCCCCAGUACUUAAAGCCUGGACCUGAAUUUCUGCAUCUUGCACUUGCUCCUCAACAGAAUGCGGCCUAUGGUCCUCUUGCCUCUCAACUGGAGUUUUCAAGCCUAGUACAUUACUUGCUCUUCGAUUCAUUUUCCGAAAUACUUGCUAUUGCUUGUUCCUUUGGUCACUUCCAUUGUGUGUACCCUGAAAUCUCUUCGUCACAGCAGGAGAUUUUAUUCCACAGCACAAGUUUGAAGCUGAACUGGUUUUUGCAUGUUCCAGCAAAGCUACCCAUGAUUUGAGUUCAAGUCAACAGAGUUGUAUGCAGCAAGUAUCUUCAAGACAAUUAGUCUAAUUUGGGAGAAAAAGAACUUUCUAUUUUAGAGCUCAGGGUGUAUGGGUAUCUUUGUUUAUCAUUUUUGUUACAUUGUUGUUUUGAAUGAACAAGUAUAAGAUAGACAUAAUGAUGUCUUAGAUGUUAUUGAUUACCUACAGAACAUGUAAUCUGAACUAAAGAAACUUCAACAUUUCUAGGUUGAAUCUUGAACUAUUUUGUUUUAGAACUUGGUGUCGUGAUUUGGACCGAGAUACAUGUUAAAAAGAAGUGUUAAUUCUAGGACUAAUUUUAUAAAAAAUAAAUACAUUUUAAAAAAUAUAAAUAAAGGAAAAAAUUUCUUGCUUUCACAACAUAAAUGUUUCAUUUGGUUCUUUUAGAUUUAAUAUUAAUAAUAGUGCUAAAUUUAGAAAAUUGUCUUUUACAAAGUUGUAAAUUACAAUGUAAUUCAUACUACACACUUUUGUUUGUGUUAUUUUAUGCUUUCUAAUUUUUCUUUUGCUCUUUAAAUUGAUAUGA